rnacentral:lncRNA from 1 species
UCAUCUGCUGAACAAGAUACUCGUGCAUCUAAAUAGGCCAUAUAGAUUUUGCAUUGAAAGACAAUACAAUAAUUCUAGCCUGUAAACUCUUUUCUGAAACUUGUCUUUUAUUAAACUUCUGAUUUACCAACUAUGGGCAGAUUUCUGAGUCAGUAAAUCUGGAGGAAACUAAAAUUGAACAUGGGAAGGAUGACAAGAAGAUCAAGGAGAGUGUUGAAGAUAAUCCCCGAGAUCAUGCCUUGCCUUCACAAACAAUACAUGAUGUAGCAGACGCAGACCACGCAGAAGCAAAUCAAAGUUUGGAGGGGAAGGACGACAAUAUUGCGAGUCUUGAGAAAGAAAGUAUCAAAAGCAAGGGACCUGAUGAGGUUCACCCCAGUGAAUCAGAAACACAUCAGAGUUUGGUGGACAAAGACAACAAUAUUGUAAGUCUUGAAAAAGAAAGCAUUGAAAGCAAAGGGCCUGAUGAGGUUCAACUCGGUGAAUCAGAAGCCACCAAGGUAGACUUUCUUUUGAAUUCUUCAAAACUUUAUGUAUUUAAUUUAACUAUUCAAUUUGCUUUCCUUGAACUCACUGUUUUUCCAACAUGCCUCCUCAUCUCAAGUUUGACUUGUGAAAAAUUUGAUCAACCAGGUUGCUGAAAUUGUUAGCACAACUGAUGAGGCUGAAACUACGUCUGUAGACGGAGGGGAAAGUGUUGAUGUCGACAAAGAUAAGGCAGAGUAUCAAGAGCACAAAAAUGUUAGAGGGUCAGUGAUGGAGGAAUAUAAUCAAGGGGAAGCAAAUGAAACACAAAUGGCCAAGAGCCAUGAGGUAAUAAUUGAUUCAAUGCCACGUAUGGUUUCUUACUAAGUCCAAAAUUCGUAUAUUUUACUGCAUGGCCAGAAGUAUAGAAACGAUUGAACUAAUAAUUCUUAACUUCUCCUCUAAAACCCUCAUUUCAAUAUAACAUUAAUUGUUGUCCUAUCUUGAUCAGAUCCCUGAAAUGGAUGAUCUAAGCCCUGAAAAGGCUUCGGAGACAAAUAAAUCGGUGAUGAAAGAUAUACAUGACAAAACUAAAACAAAGCAUGAAGAGCCAGAUUUUGCAAGUAACAAGCCAAUUAAUCAGACUAACAUGCCUGAACAAAGUCGAAUUCCUGAAGAAGAAAAUACUAUCAUGGAAAGCAAAACGGAGUCAAGCUUCCCAAAGGAUGCAAUUGAAAAUGCCCUGAAAUCAGACCCUGAUGAGAAAGAUGAGGAAAUGCUAAAGAAUGAGGAAUCCUCACAUAUUUUCCCAGAGUCCUCUCCCAACGUUGAUCAUAAAAUUGCUAGGGGAUUAUCUCAUCAAGAUGAAGGGAACAAGAUAUGUGAGGAUGCAGCACUAGAAACCCCAUCUGGCAAUCAAAGCCGUGAAGCAGAUGAGGAGCAAAUAGAAAUUGGGAAACCUAAAAAGCUGAACGAACUUAAACAAGAUAUUCCUAUGAAGUACUUUGAUGCUGUAAACAGUCAAGAAGAGACGAUACAUAAAGAAAAUCCUGAUAAUGUGGAAGAGAGCGAGAAGUGUGAAGUAAAGGAUGAAACUGCUUUAACACUCGAGCGAGCAUCUGCAGCGGACUCUGAAGAGCCCAGUCAUUGGCUGUUUAGCAGUUGUGAGAAGGUAUCCAAGUCUUAACCCAUACAAAAAUUUCAACAUUCUUUAUCCUUAUUUAUGAAUUGUUAAUGAAUAAACUAUUGACAAAGAAUUUUAAGUUUCUAUCCGCACAAGUUGUGCCCACCAUGCCAUACCAUGCAGACAAUAUAUCAGCAUGAUACCACCCGCAUGCCGAUGGCACAACUCAAAAUCAUUUUUUUUUCAAAAAUUAACAAGUAGCUACAUUAAUCAAAUACCAAAGAAUAUAGUUGUGCCAAAAGAAAAUAUAUGUUUUCAUAGUUGGAUAAAUUGAGUAGAAAAAGUAUAUGAAGCAGAAAGAUGAAAAAGUCUUUGAGUGUAGCAAUGCCACUCUCCUUAAAGCUAAAUCGUCCCCACCAUUCUCGUAAUUUGGUGUGCACUGGGUUAACAAAUAGCUUCUCAGGAUACAAUGAAAUAUAAACCUCAACUUCGUUUGCACACGUGAAGUCGAGCCUUUGAGCACUCACUCGAUUAAAUUGUCAAAAAGAAAAUAGAAUAAGAAACAAGAAAUUAUUAUAGAUAGAGACUUAAACUUUCCAACUGUCCUUCAGCAGUCAACGUUAUGGACUUAUAUGGACCACGAACAGGUGCUUUAUGAAGUGACAAUUCAUGAACGGGUGCUUCAUGAAGUGACUUUUCCUUUGAUCAUAACUAUCAAUUAGUUAUAUGAGUCAAGUUCAAUGAAUGUAAGAAUUAAUUUCAACGGACAUCCAUGAAAGGACACACUAAAAAGUUGUCUUUCUAUGUCUUAUCCUUUCAAUAAAAAUCACAUCCUUUCAUAUUCAUUCACCAAGAGUUACGACCUUUGAUUAGAGUCACAUCUACUCACUAAGAGUCGCAUUUGUACUAAGGGUUGCAUCCAUUCACUAAAACUCAAAGGACAAAAUAAAUAUAUAUUUUAAAAAUUUCCUUACAUUCAUGCCACAAUGUAUUGGCACAUAGAUAUCGUGCCAACAGCAUAGAUUGACACGGCAUAGCACGAUGGUGUGCCAUGCCACACCGUUGCUUAGCAUGAACCUGCAACUGACUAAGUGCAAAAUGUAGAUCAGAAGAUGAAAGAUGGGCAACCAAAAAAAAAAAGAGAAAGUAAGAUUUGUAGUUUCUGCAAGGGGCAUUUUAGCCAACUAAUCUCAUCCAAACUUUAUAUUCUAAAAAUAGGCCUACGAAAAUCGUAUUUACGGAAAUAGGCACGAAACUGCCACGUAAGCAGUGAGAUAGCGGAGGAAGAUAGAAGCCGUGAACCAAGUACCACUUUCAAGUGAAGACGGUAAAUGAUUCACCGCUUUCAUAAAAUUUUAAAAAUCCUAUGAAGGCGGUGAAUGGUUCACCGCCUUCAUGCAAUUCCCCGCGCAGAAUAUAAUAGUUAUGAACGCGGUGAAUGGUUCACUGCAUAUUAAGGCGGUGAAUCAUUUACCGCUUUUAUAUGCAGUGAUCCAUUCACCGCAUUUAUGAUAACCCCCACCCAGCCAAUUAGUUUGCAGAUUCCCACAUUAUACAAAAUAGCAAUAUUUUCAAGCAUUUCAAUUACAAGAAUAAAUACACAAAAUCAUCUAUAUCAACUUCAACCACACUUUAAGCAUAUAAAAUGAGCCAUACCAAUAUCAAGAUACUUCAAUAUGAAUAAAUUUAGAUAAUACCAUAAAAAAUCAAUGUAGAAAAAAUCAGAAAUAUCAAAUAUACAUGAGAAUCCCAAAAAUGAUAAACAAAAUCAAGUCCCCUCCAUCCCCCUCACAUGCUCUCGCCCUCGUCCCCUGCCACGUCCACGUCUGCGUCCACAACCGCGUCCUCGACUUCGUCCUCGAAUAUGCAUAUCAUGCUCCAUCCCAGGCUGCACGGGCUCAAUGACAUGCAUCUGAUCAAUAUGCUCAAUGGCGAUGCCCUCGACAAUCGGCUCCACCCCUUGCUCAUCAGCCGAUGGUACUGCGUCUCAAUAUGACCCUAUCAUCGUCGCCUACAUCAAUAUACAACAUCAUCGCAAUGAACCUAUGACGUGGAUGAAACGUCAGGAGGGAUAGGCAUGAAUGGAAUAUCAAAAUAGGAUACCUCUGACGUAGAUGGAAUAUCAAAUGGAGGGAUGGAUGCCGACGAAAUAUCAAACUCCACUUCUGAUGUCGAAGGGAUAUCAGAUGUCGAAGGGACAUCAGAUGGAUGAAUCGGGACAGAUGUCGAUAGAAAAUCAUAUGUAGGCAUGGAGGUGGAGGGAAUAUCACCAAAAUCAUAUACAGGCAUGGAGGUGGAGGGAAAAUCACUGUAAUCAGCAAAAGCCGGAGAAGGAAUAUCCGGAUGCCCUGUCACGGGAAAAGGGCCACCAACAACUACAUUCGAAAAUUCGUACUCCCUACAAUUGAUAGAAGAAGGCAAUCUAAAAUAAUUAUACAAUUGUUAUAUUAAAAUAAUUAUACAAAAGUCAUAUUUUGCAAUACUAACCUGGGUGCAUUUGCUCCUCCUCCAAUAUCAGCACGAAAAUGUUCUCUUUCGGGGCCAGGGAAUAAUACAUCCACAUUAAAGUCACUAUUUAACAUUCUAGAAUAAUACCCCUGAGAUAAAACCAUCUGUUUUUCAACGAAGAUUAUCAAACACGGAGGGUUCCCCGACAAUGCCAUCGCACCACACAAUGAGUCAUCAUCCGUAACUUCAACAACAUCGAACUGAUUCAUCCCAGUCGAAUAUCGGACUUUGAUAAUUAGACGAUACUCAUCUCUUGGGGUAUCGGUCAAUCUAUAUAUUUUUCUCUCGAAUUCUGUAAAUGUAAUAUCCACUGGGAUACACACUUAAUUUCUUACGACCGCCAACGUACUGUGGAUUGCUAUCUUGAGUGAAUAGUUCUCCAUUCCAAUGAACAAUAAUAGCCACAUUACUACGCGCCAUCCUAAUUUUUACAAAAUAUAAUAUUUAUAAACUAACAUAAUCGUAGCAAUAUUUGACCAAUUUAUAAUAUCAAUUUGCAAAUGACAUGUGUUCACUACAUCAGAAAAUAAUAAAUUUAUAAUAUUGUAAUAAUUUUAAAAAAAAAUUAUUAAUUUUUAGUAUAAAUUUAUCAAUUUUCAGUAUAUAUGUAUUUACUACACUCAUUUUUCAAAUUUCAUCAUACGAUGAUGCAAAUGUAAGGAAAUUUUUAAAAUAAUAUAUUUUGUUUAUUAAUUUUUAGUGAAUGGAUGCAACCCUUAGUGAGUGGAUGCAACUCUAAUCAAAGGGUGUAACUCUCAGAGUUAAAGGAUGUGACUUUUAGUGAAAGGAUAUGACAUGAAAAGACACAUCUUUAUCGUGUGUCUCUUCGAGUAUAUGUCCGUUGGAAUUAAUUCUUACAUUUAUUGAACUUGACUCAUAUAACUAAUUGGUAGUUAUGGUCAAAUGAAAAGUCACAAUUGAAAGAUCACUUCACGAAAUACCCGUUCAUGAAUAGUCACUUCAUGAAGCACCCGUUCGUGGUCUAUAUAAGUCCACAGCGUUGGUUGCAGAAACGAAAGUAGAAAAAAAAAGGAACAGUUGAAGAGUUUUAAGUCUCCAUUCAUAAUAAUUCCAUUCUUGUUUUCUUAUUCUUUUUGACAACUUAAUCGAGUAAGUGCUCAAAGGCUCGACUUCGUGUGUGCAAACGCAGUUGAGGUUUAUGCUUCAUUGUAUCUUGGGAGGCUGUUCGUUGACCCGGUGCACACCAAAUUGUUAGAACAGUAGUGACGGAUUAAGCCUUAAGGAAAGUGGCAUUGCUACACGCCUUGAAGCCUUUUUUCAUCUUUCUGUUUCAUACCUUUUUCACUAUCUGCUCUUAAAUCCGAAAAUGUCGACUGCUACUCAACGAGAGAUGACAACAAACUUUAUAAGACUAGAAAGAUUUGAUGGCAUGGACUUCAGGCGCUGGCAGAAGAAAUUAUUUUUCCUUCUGUCGACUCUCAAAGUUGCUUAUAUCCUCACUACUCCAAGACCAGAAGAAAACGAUGAUGAACCUAUUGCACAAACUUGUACAAGACAAAAAUGGGAUGAAGAUGACAAUAUAUGCCGAGGCAACAUUGUAAAUGCUAUGUCGGAUGCGCUUUUUGACGUCUAUCAAAAUAUGAAAAUGGCUAAAGAACUGUGGGAAGGUCUUGAAGAAAAAUACAAAUCCGUGGAUGCCACAAGUAAGAAGUUUCUUGUUAGCAAAUUUAAUAACUAUAAAAUGGUUGAUAGUAGAUAUGUUCUUGAUCAAUUACAUGAAAUUCAACAUAUUCUCAAUCAACUUACUCAACAUAAUAUGAAUAUGGAUGAAUCUAUAAUUGUGGCCUCUAUUAUCGAUAAACUUCCUCCAUCAUGGAAAGACUUUAAGAAAAGUCUUAAGCAUAAAAAGGAAGAGAUUACUCUUAAAGAUUUGGCUAACCAUCUUCGCAUAGAAGAAUAUCGUUUGCAUGAUGGCAAAAAGGAGCAAGAUGCUCGGAGUGUCAAAGUGUAUGUGACGGAAGAUGAGUAUAAUAAAACCCGUCAACCCAUAAAAGAAAAUCGAAAGAGAGCCAAACAUCCGAUCAACCACAACAUGACAAAUAAGAAAAAGAAAGAUGCAUGCUUUCAUUGUGGUAAACCGGGUCACUACAAGAAAGAAUGUCGGUUCCUCGAAAGGGAAAGUGCACCGGAUUCCAAAAGGAAUUUUGUGGCUAUGAUAUCCGAGGCUAACAUACUCGAAGAUGACGGAGUUUGGUGGAUUGAUUCAGGUUCCACAAGACGUGUGCAAGGAUAGAAGUUUAUUUAGAACUUAUGAUGCAUUGGAGGAUGGAAAUGUUCUCUAUGUGGGCAAUUCUUCAACAGCACAAAUCAAAGUAAAGAACACUCCAAUGAGAAAACUGAUGUUGUAAUUGAAACCCCAAAACUUAGAAGAAGUAAAAGAGUUAGAAUUGCUAAAACAUUUGGACCGGAUUUUUAUACUUUUCUUGUUGAGGGUAGUAGAGAAAUGAUUACAGAAAGUUUUCAAUUUUGUUUAAACAUUGACUCAGACCCCUAAACAUUGACUCAGACCCCACAACAUUUGAGGAGGCAAUGAAAUCUCCUGAUGUCACUUUUUGGAAAGAAGCGAUAAAUGAUGAAAUGGACUCAAUUAUGGCCAACCAAACAUGAAAAUUAGUUGAUCUUCCUCAUGGAUGUAAACCUAUUGGGUGUAAAUGGAUUUUCAAAAAAAAAUCAACGUAAAUGGCACCAUAGAUAAAUUCAAGGCAAGACUUGCUGCCAAAGGGUUUACACAAAAAGAAGGCAUUGAUUAUUUUGAUACCUAUGCACCUGUUGCCAGAUUAGCGACCAUUAGAACUUUGAUUGCUCUUGCUUCUAUGUAUAAUUUGAUUAUUCAUCAAAUUGAUGUCAAAGCUGCAUUCUUAAAUGGAGAAUUAGAUGAAAAGUUUAUAUGGAACAGCCCGAGGGCUUUGUUGUUCUUGGACAAGAGCAUAAAGUGUGUAAACUUGUCAUGUCAUUGUAUGGGCUUAAACAAGCACCUAAACAAUGGCAUCAAAAAUUUGAUCAGAUUGUUCUUUCCAAUAGUUAUAAAAUUAAUCAAUCUGAUAAAUGUAUUUAUAGUAAAUUUUCAAAUGGUAAAGGUGUUAUUAUAUGUCUAUAUGUUGAUGACAUGUUAAUUUUUGGCAUCGAUGUUCAGCAAGUAGAAAAUACUAAAAGUUUUUAAUCUUGCAAUUUUGAUAUGAAAGAUAUGGGGGAGGUUGAUAUUAUUUUGGGAAUUAAAAUUAUUCGUGAAAAUAAUGGUUUAUUUUUAACGCAGUCUUAUUAUAUCGAAAAGAUUCUUAGGAAAAAAUUAGUUAUUUUGACUGUACUCCAGUAUCUACUCCUUUUGAUCCUAAUCUAAAAUUAGUUCGCAAUACUGGUAGAUCAAUUAAUCAGUUAGAAUAUUCUAAGAUUAUUGGAAGUUUGAUGUAUGCCAUGUCUUGUACUAGGCCUGAUAUUGCAUUUGCUGUUGGUAAAUUAAGUAGAUUUAUUAGCAAUCCAGGUAAUGUACAUUGGCAUCCUAUUUACAGACUUUUGAAAUAUUUGAAAAAGACUAUGGAAUUUUCUAUAGUGGAUAUCCAACAGUAUUGGAAGGCUAUACAGAUGCCAGUUGGAUAACAAAUCAAGAAGAUCAUGCAUCCACAAGUGGGUAGAUAUUUAUAUUAGGUGGAGGUGCGAUUUCUUGGGGUUCUAAGAAACAAACAUGUAUAGCGGACUCUACCAUGGCAGCAGAAUUUAUAGCACUAGCGUCUGCUAGUAAGGAGGCGAAAUGGAUAAGGAAUUUAUUAUAUGAAAUUCUAGUUUGGCCAAAACCAAUGCCGCCGGUAUCGCUACAUUGCGAUCGUGAGGCUACGCUUUCGAGAGCAUAUAAUCAAACAUACAAUGGGAAGUCAAGACAUAUUGGAUUAAGACAUAGCUAUGUAAAACAACUGAUAUCAGAUGGCAUAAUUACCAUUGAUUUUGUAAGAUCAAACCAAAAUCUUGCGGAUCCGUUGACUAAGGGACUUCCAAGAGAAUUGAUAUUCAAGACAUCAAUGGGGAUGGAUCUCAAGCCCAUAUUACAAAGUCACCAAUGAUAGAAACUCGACUUAACACUUGAAACAUCAUCAAGUCUUAAGUUCAAUGAGCCAAAGUACAUCAUAUGGAGUGAUUGCAAGCACUAUAAUAUAAAAUUUCCAUCCCAAGUGCUUGGUAUCCGUAUUGAAAAGGGAAAGUUGAACUAAUAAAGUUCUUAAUAGACCUACAGUAGUAUUUACUGAAGUGUUAAAUACGGGACACUUCUGGUAGAGUCUACCUAUAUGAAUGUGAAGUGUGGCCGCUUCUAGGAGUUAAGGGCUUGACUCUAACAGCAUUCAUGAAACAGGAUGCGGACACAAGGCCAUAAAAGUGUCAGCAAUAAAAUAGAGCACUCGAUUGAUUAUAAAUUCCUAUGUGUGAGAUAUGUUCGGUUAGUCAAAAAAUAAUUGUUGGUUCAAAGCUUGUCUACCAUUCAAUUAUGUCUAACUUUGAUGAGUUUUCACUAAGUGUAGGUUCAAGUUUUAAUACAACUACACCUAUGCAUACGAUUUUGUCAAGUUGUCAAGAAUUUUGAUUUUUGAUUUUUGAUUUUUGAUUUUUGAUUUUGUUUUAUUUUGUAUUUUGAUGUAUUUUUAUGUAUUUUAAAAAUUGGUAGGGAAUUGUAAGGAAAUUUUUAAAAUAAUAUAUUUUUUUUAUUGAUUUUUAGUGAAUGGAUGCAACCCUUAGUGAGUGGAUGCAACUCUAAUCAAAGGAUGUGACUUUUAGUAAAAGGAUAUGACAUGAAAAGACACAUCUUUAUAGUGUGUCUCUUCGAGUAUAUGUCCGUUGGAAUUAAUUCUUACAUUCAUUGAACUUGACUCAUAUAACUAUUUGGUAGUUAUGGUCAAAUGAAAAGUCACAAUUGAAAGGUCACGUCACGAAAUACCCGUUCGUGGUCUAUAUAAGUCCACAGCGUUGGUUGCAGAAACGAAAGUAGAAAAAAAAAGAAACAGUUGAAGAGUUUAAAUCUCCAUUCAUAAUAAUUUCAUUCUUGUUUUCUUAUUCUUUUUGACAACUUAAUCAAGUGAGAGCUCAAAGGCUCGACUUCGUGUGUGCAAACGCAGUUGAAGUUUAUGCUUCAUUGUAUCCUGGGAGGCUGUUCGUUGACCCGGUGCACACCAAAUUGUUAGAACGGUAGGGAUGGAUUAAGCCUUAAGGAAAGUGGCAUUGCUACACGCCUUGAAGCCUUUUUUCAUCUUUCUAUUUCAUACCUUUUUCACUAUCUGCUCCAACAGCAAAUAGGGUUUAAAAUGUGACCUAAAGUGUGCAUGCUACCAAAUAUAGACAAAAUAUAACUGACAAAAUACAACAAGUUAUAUUGAAAGAACACAAUAAUCUACAAACAAUCAACUGUACUACAAAACCCACUACAACUUUUUUCAAAAAUCUAACCUCUAACCUAAUGAGGACAAUGUGGAUGCAAUGCUGAGGAGAGAGGGUGCGGUGGCGGCCUUGACGGUGGCAGCAGCAGCAGAGUCUUCGGUGCCGGCGACGGCGGCGUCGAAGUCGUCGGGUUCGGGCGGAGUGAGAGAGACAGAGAGGAAAUCGGGGAGAGGAGUAAGGGAGAAAGGAGAAGAGUUCGGGCGGAGUGAGGGAGACAGAGAGGAGAUCGGGGAGAGGAGUGAGGGAGAAAGGAGAAGGGUUCGGGCGGGGUCUAGGGUAUUCUAAUUAAAUGUGGUGAACUGUUCACUGCAUAUAAAAGCGGUAAACGGUUUACCGUAUUUAAAGACGAUGAAUGGUUCACCGCUUUUAAAUGCGGUGAAUAGUUAACCGUCUUUAAAAGUGGUAAACUGUUCACCACCUUUAAAGGAACGCGGUAAACCGUAUUCUUAAUUUUUCACACUAAUUCCCCACACCUGCCAGAGGCCCACAAAUGCGGUGAAUGGUUCACCGCAUAAGUAAAUGCGAUGAACCAUUCACCGCAUAUAAAGAUUUUACUCCGAGGAACUGACCUGGCCUAUUUGAGGCCUACUUUUACAAUAAAAUUUAGAGGACAAUUUUUAGAAAAAAAAUUUUAAGAUUAUUUAUAAAAAAAAUUCGUUUCUGCAACAUAGUACAUUUAUACUGUGCUAUUAAUAAGGUCACAUUUUCUAUUGAGACAUUAUUAUACUGCUGGAACGAAACAUCUAGUGAAUUAUUUAGUCUUCAAACAGAUAUCUGAUGUCACCAAUCUAGGAGAUGAUUACGAACCUAACUCUACAUGCAAAGAACUGCCUCAUGACAAUAUUAAGCGCAAUGAAAGCAAAGUGGAUGAUGAACAAAGAGGAGAAAUUUCAGAAUCCUUUGGAAUUGGAGGUUACGAAAGGAGGGACAACCUCUAAAGCCGAAAGCACCAAGGUGAAACACUAAAAAGAACGCAAAAACAUCACAAAUAUGGCCAUCUCCUUUAUCCAGUGUCCUACAUAGCAAAUUCCGAAAUUCCUCUUAUCUCCUCUUAUUUACUCGAGAACUAGUUGAUUGUUAAUAUACAUAAAAAGUUGUAUAAAACCAAAUAAAAAGGAAAAUGUAAUCUUAAUUUUUUAAGGUUAUGAUAAAUCAACUUGUAGGUAAAUAAACUACCUUAAGAAUUCACAACGACCAGCCAAACUAUGAACUUACAAUCACCCAAGAAAACCAUCAUCAAACAAAGGUGGUCUACAUACAACCUUUUGAGACAUCAGGUAGAUGUUUGCAUUAAAAAGUUUCCGAAAAGAAAAUAAGUUUUCUUAUCCGCUAUAACUUUCUCCUACUAGGCUUUUGUUAGGCUUCUCGCUAUAUUAGCAAGCAAAAUGAUAUCCUAAAUACUUUACCUUAAAUAAGGAAAAUCACAUAAAUAUGUUCCUCUCUAUAAACCAUAAAAGUAAAUUUGAAAUGUGUAAAAUUUCUAAUUUAAAAAUUUUUACAUUUCUAUUUUCCUGAUAUAAUUUGAAAUGUGUGCAGGCCACAGCCUCAGACGGAUUGAGUGAAGAGGCGGACUUUGCAAGUGAAAAGGAUGAAAACAUGUGCAAGAAAGAUGAUUGUGCUAGAGAGACCGCUCAAGAUUUUCUGGAGGAAACUACUCAUAGAGCUUGGAAGGGCGGAGAGGAAACAGAUGCAAAGAAUAUUGGAAGUGAAGACAAUGAUAGAGAUGUAAAAGGAAUCCCUGAUGUGGCACCUCAGGGAGAUUAUAAUACAAAGACACCAGAUAAUACAUACACAAAAGAAAUUAUGAUAGCAAUAGAACAAGAAGAUGAGGCAAGGACACAAGUGAGAUCAGACAAUGAGGAAACAGAAGGUGAAAAGGUAUCAACAUAUCAACUCUGCCCUUUUCAACUUUUGUAGUCUUUUUAAGCAUUUGCUAAUUACUAAACUGUUGACACGUGUAACGAAUUAGGACUGAAGAGGAAACUUGAGCAAUGAUUAUAUGAUUAUAUAGAUAUAAGCCAUAUCUGUUGUUUCCGUGAUACUGUAUUUUCUUUUGUGCUAGUUACCAUUAGCUUUAUUUUUUUAUCAAACCAUUUUAUUAACUUCUUACAAUUUCAUUUAAGCAGAUAUCUAGUGUCAAAGGUGACAGUGAACCCACAAAGGUGGAGAAUGAAUACAUAAGCAACACUGUUGGUGAUGCCUCUGAUACAGGAGAGCCAACUGGGAAGCCUGCAGACGUAGAUGAUGUGGUAGACGAUGUGCAGGAAGAAACCAUAGGAUCUACAUGUGACGAACAACAUCAGGAAAAUAUUGAGAGCAACGAAAAAAACGAGGAUGGUGAACAGAGAGAAGACAAACAUCAAACUCUUCAACAAGAGGAAUUAGUUUCUGAAGUUGAAAAUCAAGAGACAACCUCCACAACAGGCGCUAAAAAGAUGGAGAUCUCAAAAGAAGGCGAAAACCUCAUUAAUAUGGUAACCUGCUUUAUUCAAUUGCAUAGUAUGUUAAAUUCCUUGGGACCUUUCUGGAAGCUAAAAUAACUUACCCAGCAUAUCUUCUCUUACUGACUCGAGAACUAUUUAUUUCUUGAUUGUUAAGGAGAACAAAAUUAUGUCUAAACCGAAGAGCAAAAAAAGUAAGCAAACUUAUUUUUAAGGAUAUGAUAAAUCACCUUGUAGGUGAACUGGUGAAGCAUAUUAGUUUAUAUCAUCAUGGCGGAAAAUUGUCUAAAGUCAAAGUCUGUUCUCAUAAUCACUAAUUGUUACCUCCAUCCAAUACUAGUUAUCUACACAUACAUUAAGGGUUUGUAUAUUGCGCAGUUGUAGAGAUUUUUUACACUCCCUAUCAACCAUUACCACAUGCACCUUGAGCAAACAGAAAGUCAUCAGCUGAACAAGAUACUCGUGCGUCUAAGAUUCUAAAUAGGCCAUAUAGAUUUUGCAUUGAAAGACAAUACAAUAAUUCUAGCCUGUCAACUAUUUUUGAAACUUGUCUUUUAUUAAACCUCUAAUUUACCUACUGUGGGCAGAUUUCUGAAUCAGUAAAUCUGGAGGAAACUAAAAUUGAAAAUGACACGGAUGAUGAGAAGAUCAAGGAGAGCGUUGAAGAUAAUCCCCGAGAUCAUGCCUUGCUUUCACAAACAAGACAUGAUGUAGCAGACGAAGACCACACAAAAGCAGAUCAAAGUUUGGAAGGGAAGGACGGUAAUAUUGUAAGUCUUGAGAAAGAAAGUAUCAAAAGCAAGGGACCUGAUGAGGUUCACCCCAGUGAAUCAGAAGCACAUCAGCGUUUGGUGGACAAAGACAACAAUAUUGUAAGUCUUGAAAAAGAAAGCAUUGAAAGCAAAGGGCCUGAUGAGGUUCAACCCGGUGAAUCAGAAGCCACCAAGGUAGACUUUCUUUUGAAUUCUUCAAAACUUUAUGUAUUUAAUUUAACUAUUCAAUUUGCUUUCCUUAAACUCUCUGUUUUUCCAACAUGCCUCCUCAUCUCAAGUUUGACUUGUGAAAAUUUUGAUCAAGCAGGUUGCUGAAAUUGUUAGCACAACUGACGAAGCUGAAACUACGUCUGUAGAUGGAGGGGAAAGUGUUGAUGUUGACAAAGAUAAGGCAGAGUAUCAAGAGCACAAAAACGUUAUAGAGUCAGUGAUGGAGGAAUAUAAUAAAGGGGGAGCAAAUGAAACACAAAUGGCCAAGAGCCACCAGGUAAUAAUUGAUUCAAUGCCACGUAUGGUUUCGUACUAAGUCCAAAAUUCGUAUAUUUUACUGCAUGGCCAGAAGUAUAGAAACGAUUGAACUAAUAAUUCUUAGCUUCUCCUCUAAAACCCCCAUUUCUAUAUAACAUUAAUUGUUGUCCUAUCUUGAUCAGAUUCCUGAAAUGGAUGAUCUAAGCCCUGAAAAGGCUUCGGAGACAAAUGAAUCGGUGAUGAAAGAUAUGCAUGACAAAACUAAAACAAAGCAUGAAGAAGAGCCAGAUUUUGCAAGUAACAAGCCAAUUAAUCAGACUACCAUGCCUGAACAAAGUCGAAUUCCUGAAGAAGAAAAUACUAUCAUGGAAAGCAAAACAGAGUCAAGCUUCCCAAAGGAUGCAAUUGAAAAUGCCCUGAAAUCAGACCCUGAAGAGAAGGAUGAGGAAAUGCUAAAGAAUGACGAGUCCUCACAUAUUUUCCCAGAGUCCUCUCCCGACGCUGAUCAUAACAUUGCUGAGGGAUUAUGUCAUCAAGAUGAAGGGAACAAGAUAUAUGAGGAUGCAGCACCAGAAACUGCAUUCGGCAAUCAAAGCUGUGAAGCAAAUGAGGAGCAAAGAGAAACAGAGAAAAAAGAUAUGCCUAUGAAGUACAUUGACACUGUAAACAGUCAAGAAGAGACGAUACAUAAAGAAGAUUCUGAUAAUGUGGAAGAGAGCGAGAAGUGUGCAGGAGAGGAUGGAACCGCUUUAACACUUGAGCGAGCAUCUGCAGCAAAGGAUGAUGAACAAAGAGAAGAGAAAUUUCAAAAUCCUCAUGACAUAGAAUCAGAAAUGGACGUUAAGAAAGAAAAGACAACCUCUGAAGCAGAAAGCUCCAAGGUAGCGCACUUUUGGCAAAAACAUCACAAAUAUGUCCAUCUCCUUUAUCCAGUAUCCCACAUAUCAAAUUCCGAAAUUCCUAUUAUCUCCUCUUAUUUAUUCAAGAACUAUUAAGUUAGUUGAUUGUUAAUAUACAUAAAAAGGUGUAUAAAACCAAAUAAAAAGGAAAAUGGAAUCUUAAUUUUUUAAGGUUAUGAUAAAUCAACUUAUAGGUAAAUACACUACCUUAAAAAUUCACAACGACCAGCCAAACUAUGAACUUACAAUCACCCAAGAAAACCAUCAUCAAACAAAGGUGGUCUACAUACAACCUUUUGAGACAUCAGAUAGAUGUUUGCAUUAAAAAGUUUCAGCAAAGAAAAUAAGUUUUCUUAUCUGCUGUUACAUUCUCCUACUAGGCUUUUGUUAGGCUUCUAGCUAUAUUAGCCAGCAUAAUGAUAUCCUAAAUACCUUACCUUAAAUAAGUAAAAUCACAUAAAUAUGUUCCUCCCUAUAAACCUUAAAAGCAAAUUUGAAAUGUGUAAAAUUUCUAAUUUAAAAAUUUUUACAUUUCUAUUUUCCUGAUAUAAUUUGAAUGGUGUGCAGACCACAGCCUCAGACGGAUUGAGUGAAGAGGCGGACUUUGCAAGCGAAAAGGAUGAAAACAUGUGCAAGAAAGGUGAUUGUGCUAGAGAGACCGUUCAAGAUUUUUCGGAGGAAACUACUCAUAGAGCAGGGAAGGGCGGAGAGGAAACAGAUACAAAGAAUAUUGGAGGUGAAGACAAUGAUAGAGAUGUAAAAGGAAUCCCAGAUGUGGCACCUCAGGGAGAUUAUAAUACAAAGACACCAAAUAAUACAUACACAAAAGAAAUUAUGAUAGCAGUAGAACAAGAAGAUGAGGCGAGGACACAAGUGAGUUCAGAUAAUGAAAAAACAGAAGGUGAAAAGGUAUCAACAUAUCAACUCUGCCCUUUUCAACUUUUUUUAGCCUUUUUAAGCAUUUGCUAUUAACUAAACUGUUGAUACGUGUAAGGAAUUAGGGCUAAAGAGGAAACUUGAGCAACGAUUAUAUAAUUAUAUAGAUAUAAGUCAUAUAUGUUGUUUCCGUGAUAUCGUAUUUUCUUUUGUGCUUGCUAUCAUUAGCUUUAUUUUUUGAUCAAACCAUUUUAUUAACUUCUUACAAUUUCAUUUAAGCAGAUAUCCAGUGUCAAAGGUGACAGUGAACCCACAAAGGUGGAGGAUGAAUACAUAAGCAACACUGUUGUUGAUGCCUCUGAUACAGGAGAGCCAACUGGGAAGCCUGCAAACGUAGACGAUGUGGUAGAUGAUGUGCAGGAAGAAACCAUAGGAUCUAUAUGUGAAGAACAACAUCAGGAAAAUGUUGAGAGCAACGAAAAAAAUGAGGAAGGUGAACAGAGAGGAGAGGAACAUCAAACUCUUCAACAAGAGGAAUUAGUUUCUGAAGUUGAAAAUCAAGAGACAACCUCCACAACAGGAGCUAAAAAGAUGGAGAUCUCAAAAGAAGGCGAAAACCUCAUUAAUAUGGUAACCUGCUUUAUUCAAUUGCAUAGUAUGUUAAAUUCCUUGGGACCUAUCUGGAAGCUAAAAUAACUUACCCAGCAUAUCUCCUCUUACUGACUCGAGAACCAUUUAUUUCUUGAUUGUUAAGGAGCACAAAAUUAUGUCUAAACAAAGAGCAAAAAAAGUAAACAAACUUAUUUUUAAGGAUAUGAUAAAUCACCUUGUAGGUGAACUCGUGAAACAUACUAGUUUAUAUCACUAUAGCUUUUAGGGAAUUGUCUAAAGUCAAACUCUUUUCUCAUAAUCACAAAUUGUUACCUCCAUCCAAACUAGUUAUCUACAUAUACAUUAAGGGUCUGUACGUUGCGCAGUUGUAGAGAUUUUUUACACUCCCUAUCAACCAUUACCACAUGCACCUUGAGCAAACAGUAAGUCAUCUGCUAAACAAGAUACUCGUGCAUCUAAAUAGGCCAUAUAGCUUUUGCAUUGAAAGACAAUACAAUAAUUCUAGCCUGUCAACUAUUUUUGAAACUUGUAUUUUAUUAAACUUCUAAUUUACCAACUGUGGGCAGAUUUCUGAAUCAGUAAAUCUGGAGGAAACUAAAAUUGAAAAUGACACGGAUGACGAGAAGAUCAAGGAGAGCAUUGAAGAUAAUCCCCGAGAUCUUGCCUUGCCUUCACAAACAAUCCAUGAUGUAGCAGAUGAAGACCACGCAGAAGCAGUUCAAAGUUUGGAGGGGAAGGACGGCAAUAUUGCAAGUCUUGAGAAAGAAAGUAUCAAAAGCAAGGGACCUGAUGAGGUUCACCCCAGUGAAUCAGAAGCACAUCAAAGUUUGGAGGACAAAGACAACAAUAUUGUAAGUUUUGAAAAAGAAAGCAUUGAAAGCAAAGGUCCUGAUGAGAUUCAACUCAGUGAAUUAGAAGGCACCAAGGU